UUGAUUUUUAAAGCAAAUCAAGCUUUUUUUACGAAAGUAAGGUUUUGCGAAUAAUAUUUAAACCCACUCUUUUAAAAAUAAUUUUUCAUUCAUUCAUAUAUAUAAUGAAUAAAAAAUGA
rnacentral:misc_RNA from 1 species